GACGGAGGAGGCAAGCGUUAUCCGGAAUUAUUGGGCGUAAAGGGUACGUAGGCGGCUGGUCAAGUCUGGGGUCAAAGGCCACAGCUCAACUGUGGGAAGGCCCUGGAAACUGACCGGCUAGAGUGAGGUAGGGGUUGCGGGAAUUCCCGGUGUCGCGGUGAAAUGCGUAGAGAUCGGGAAGAACACCUGAGGGUGAAGCGCGCAACUAGGCCUCAACUGACGCUGAGGUACGAAAGCUAGGGGAGCGAAUGGG
rnacentral:rRNA from 1 species